GUGCUCGCCUCAGCAGCACAUAUACUAAAAUUG
rnacentral:snRNA from 1 species